AUGGCCAGUCCUGUCCUGCCUGAAUCCCCGAGGGGCGCCCGGCUCCUCUGCUGCAUGGCCCUGUGUCUCCUCCAUGGAGGGUCCGUGGCUGCUGGAGCCACCCAGUCCCCAAGACACCUCAUCAAAGGCCGUGGUGGGGAGGCCGUUCUGAAAUGCCACCCCAUCUCCGGACACAAGAGUUUGUACUGGUACCUGCAGGCUCAGGGGCAGGAACCCAGGUUCCUCAUUCAGUAUUAUGAAAAACAGGAGUACGGGGAAGGAAACCUCCCUGCUAACUUCUCAGGACGGGUGUUCAGAGACUACAGCUCUGAGCUGGCUAUGUAUGCCUUGCAGCUGGGGGACUCGGCCGUGUACCUCUGUGCCAGCAGCUUGGACACAGCCCUGUAG